rnacentral:rRNA from 1 species
GGUUAAGCGACUAAGCGUACACGGUGGAUGCCCUGGCAGUCAGAGGCGAUGAAGGACGUGCUAAUCUGCGAUAAGCGUCGGUAAGGUGAUAUGAACCGUUAUAACCGGCGAUUUCCGAAUGGGGAAACCCAGUGUGUUUCGACACACUAUCAUUAACUGAAUCCAUAGGUUAAUGAGGCGAACCGGGGAACUGAAACAUCUAAGUACCCCGAGGAAAAGAAAUCAACCGAGAUUCCCCCAGUAGCGGCGAGCGAACGGGGAGCAGCCCAGAGCCUGAAUCAGUGUGUGUGUUAGUGGAAGCGUCUGGAAAGGCGCGCGAUACAGGGUGACAGCCCCGUACACAAAAAUGCACAUGCUGUGAGCUCGAUGAGUAGGGCGGGACACGUGGUAUCCUGUCUGAAUAUGGGGGACCAUCCUCCAAGGCUAAAUACUCCUGACUGACCGAUAGUGAACCAGUACCGUGAGGGAAAGGCGAAAAGAACCCGGCGAGGGGAGUGAAAAAGAACCUGAAACCGUGUACGUACAAGCAGUGGGAGCACGCUUAGGCGUGUGACUGCGUACCUUUUGUAUAAUGGGUCAGCGACUUAUAUUCUGUAGCAAGGUUAACCGAAUAGGGGAGCCGAAGGGAAACCGAGUCUUAACUGGGCGUUAAGUUGCAGGGUAUAGACCCGAAACCCGUGAUCUAGCCAUGGGCAGGUUGAAGGUUGGGUAACACUAACUGGAGGACCGAACCGACUAAUGUUGAAAAAUUAGCGGAUGACUUGUGGCUGGGGGUGAAAGGCCAAUCAAACCGGGAGAUAGCUGGUUCUCCCCGAAAGCUAUUUAGGUAGCGCCUCGUGAAUUCAUCUCCAGGGUAGAGCACUGUUUCGGCAAGGGGGUCAUCCCGACUUACCAACCCGAUGCAAACUGCGAAUACCGGAGAAUGUUAUCACGGGAGACACACGGCGGGUGCUAACGUCCGUCGUGAAGAGGGAAACAACCCAGACCGCCAGCUAAGGUCCCAAAGUCAUGGUUAAGUGGGAAACGAUGUGGGAAGGCCCAGACAGCCGGGAUGUUGGCUUAGAAGCAGCCAUCAUUUAAAGAAAGCGUAAUAGCUCACUGGUCGAGUCGGCCUGCGCGGAAGAUGUAACGGGGCUAAACCAUGCACCGAAGCUGCGGCAGCGACACUAUGUGUUGUUGGGUAGGGGAGCGUUCUGUAAGCCUGUGAAGGUGUGCUGUGAGGCAUGCUGGAGGUAUCAGAAGUGCGAAUGCUGACAUAAGUAACGAUAAAGCGGGUGAAAAGCCCGCUCGCCGGAAGACCAAGGGUUCCUGUCCAACGUUAAUCGGGGCAGGGUGAGUCGACCCCUAAGGCGAGGCCGAAAGGCGUAGUCGAUGGGAAACAGGUUAAUAUUCCUGUACUUGGUGUUACUGCGAAGGGGGACGGAGAAGGCUAUGUUGGCCGGGCGACGGUUGUCCCGGUUUAAGCGUGUAGGCUGGUUUUCCAGGCAAAUCCGGAAAAUCAAGGCUGAGGCGUGAUGACGAGGCACUACGGUGCUGAAGCAACAAAUGCCCUGCUUCCAGGAAAAGCCUCUAAGCAUCAGGUAACAUCAAAUCGUACCCCAAACCGACACAGGUGGUCAGGUAGAGAAUACCAAGGCGCUUGAGAGAACUCGGGUGAAGGAACUAGGCAAAAUGGUGCCGUAACUUCGGGAGAAGGCACGCUGAUAUGUAGGUGAGGUCCCUCGCGGAUGGAGCUGAAAUCAGUCGAAGAUACCAGCUGGCUGCAACUGUUUAUUAAAAACACAGCACUGUGCAAACACGAAAGUGGACGUAUACGGUGUGACGCCUGCCCGGUGCCGGAAGGUUAAUUGAUGGGGUUAGCGCAAGCGAAGCUCUUGAUCGAAGCCCUGUAAACGGCGGUACGUAACUAUAACGGUCCUAAGGUAGCGAAAUUCCUUGUCGGGUAAGUUCCGACCUGCACGAAUGGCGUAAUGAUGGCCAGGCUGUCUCCACCCGAGACUCAGUGAAAUUGAACUCGCUGUGAAGAUGCAGUGUACCCGCGGCAAGACGGAAAGACCCCGUGAACCUUUACUAUAGCUUGACACUGAACAUUGAGCCUUGAUGUGUAGGAUAGGUGGGAGGCUUAGAAGUGUGGACGCCAGUCUGCAUGGAGCCGACCUUGAAAUACCACCCUUUAAUGUUUGAUGUUCUAACGUUGACCCGUAAUCCGGGUUGCGGACAGUGUCUGGUGGGUAGUUUGACUGGGGCGGUCUCCUCCUAAAGAGUAACGGAGGAGCACGAAGGUUGGCUAAUCCUGGUCGGACAUCAGGAGGUUAGUGCAAUGGCAUAAGCCAGCUUGACUGCGAGCGUGACGGCGCGAGCAGGUGCGAAAGCAGGUCAUAGUGAUCCGGUGGUUCUGAAUGGAAGGGCCAUCGCUCAACGGAUAAAAGGUACUCCGGGGAUAACAGGCUGAUACCGCCCAAGAGUUCAUAUCGACGGCGGUGUUUGGCACCUCGAUGUCGGCUCAUCACAUCCUGGGGCUGAAGUAGGUCCCAAGGGUAUGGCUGUUCGCCAUUUAAAGUGGUACGCGAGCUGGGUUUAGAACGUCGUGAGACAGUUCGGUCCCUAUCUGCCGUGGGCGCUGGAGAACUGAGGGGGCUGCUCCUAGUACGAGAGGACCGGAGUGGACGCAUCACUGGUGUUCGGGUUGUCAUGCCAAUGGCACUGCCCGGUAGCUAAAUGCGGAAGAGAUAAGUGCUGAAAGCAUCUAAGCACGAAACUUGCCCCGAGAUGAGUUCUCCCUGACCCUUUAAGGGUCCUGAAGGAACGUUGAAGACGACGACGUUGAUAGGCGGGUGUGUAAGCGCAGCGAUGCGUUGAGCUAACCGGUACUAAUGAACCGUGAGGCUUAACCUU